rnacentral:rRNA from 1 species
CCUACGGGAGGCAGCAGUGGGGAAUAUUGCACAAUGGGCGCAAGCCUGAUGCAGCGACGCCGCGUGAGGGAUGACGGCCUUCGGGUUGUAAACCUCUUUCAGCAGGGAAGAAGCGCAAGUGACGGUACCUGCAGAAGAAGGGCCGGCUAACUACGUGCCAGCAGCCGCGGUAAU